AGAGUUUGAUCAUGGCUCAGGAUGAACGCUAGCUACAGGCUUAACACAUGCAAGUCGAGGGGAAACGACAUCGAAAGCUUGCUUUUGAUGGGCGUCGACCGGCGCACGGGUGAGUAACGCGUAUCCAACCUGCCCACCACUUGGGGAUAACCUUGCGAAAGUAAGACUAAUACCCAAUGACGUCUCUAGAAGACAUCUGAAAGAGAUUAAAGAUUUAUCGGUGAUGGAUGGGGAUGCGUCUGAUUAGCUUGUUGGCGGGGUAACGGCCACCAAGGCGACGAUCAGUAGGGGUUCUGAGAGGAAGGUCCCCCACAAUGGGACUGAGACACGGCCCAUACUCCUACGGGAGGCA
rnacentral:rRNA from 1 species